rnacentral:lncRNA from 1 species
CUUUACUGUGUGUUUUGUUUUGGCACCUUCUCCAUAAAAAAGGCAACUGACUCCCAUCCUGAACCCCUCACUGCACCUGUGACAUGGAAAGCUCUUUACAGAUGUCACGUUAAUUAAUCUGCAACUUUACCUGGCUGCACAACCGGUACCUGCAGCCCUCCUGCCAAAGCGAGGCUCCUUCCUGGCCCCAGCGUUCCCAGAGUCUACUUUCUGUCUUCCUUCAGGAUGGUCCCUUUGCAAAGAAUGUAUGCUGGUUUACCCAUUUAACCUGCUCUUCAAGUCCCAGCUGGACUUUCCUGACCCUUCAAGAUGGCAGCCUUCAUCUCUGGUGAGGCUAUGCUUCACUCAGCAGCUUCCCACACUUCCUCCAGCUUGCCUUGCUCCUCCAGUGUCUCCCAUCGCCGUCAGCACAUUCUUUGUCCUUGCCUUCCAUACCAGUCUUCAUCUGGGACCUCUUCCACCCCUCCCAGGCCAGCUGUGUAUAAGCUGAAAAGCAUACAAACACGUAUACCUCAGGGUGGAUGCAGAUAAGAGAAGAAACUGUCAACAGAGGUACUGCAGAAAGCACAAAUAACAGGGAAAGAUAAGUCUCUGUCAUCUUCCUGCGCUUCAGAUGUGGGUGUCCAGAGGCCUGCAGCCGUUUCCUCAUUAUGUCCCCUGAUGCCACGAACUGCAUGUGUCUGAAUUUGAACUCAUCAUCCUCUUGCUCUCUCUCCUCCUGUUCUACAUGACUCCACCGCUGACUCAGAAGGCCAGAGACCAAUGAGUCAUCCUAGACUCCUUCCUUUCCCUCACCUCUACCCCUACCCGCUCCAUGUCCAGUCAUCACCGAGUUCUGCCAACUUUCAGUCCUAAAUGUCUUAUAAAUCUCUCUCUUCAACCCAGUCUCCUGCCAUUGACAACUCACAACUCUAUGGCAGGCCAAGAUUGUUUUCAAUUCCCUGUGGCUGUGCAGGUGCUGUUCACUGUGCCUACAAGCCCCUGCCUCAACCCCCACUUUUUGCCUGGCUUCGUCCUACUCUCUCACCAAGCCUCGGCUCAGACCUCACCUCCUCAGGGGAGCCCACCUGGACUAAAGGUGCAUGUUCCCCCUCCCUCCCCAGGAGCAUCUAGCGGUACUCUCUUCCAGGCUCCUACUCCUCUAGAAUGCCCAUUUCCCACCCAGUGUGGGAAUGGUCAGUUUAGAUACCUGCCUCCUCCUGGACUGGCCACUCCUCCAGGACAGAGCCCAGACGUGGCUGAAGUUGUCCUUGCCUAAUUUGAGGGAGGCAGG